GGGCGGGGAGAAAGACGUUUCCUCCCUAAAUUUUCAUGGGCCGCCAUCUGUGCGGUCCUCUUUUUUUAUUUUC
rnacentral:misc_RNA from 1 species